CUAUGUUGUAAAAGAAGACCUUUUUUAGAGGAGCACUGAUCCUGAGUGAGAUUGCUAAUCCUAUAAACUCGGAUCCAGUCAAGAAAUAUUUCGUUUAAAGAAGAAGAAAGGACCAAGGUGAAAACCCGCAAAGGGCACUUUGAGUCAGAAAAAUGUGAAAAAUGAAAAAAUGAAAAUGAAAAAUGAAAAAGUAAAAAUGGA
rnacentral:lncRNA from 1 species